AGAGUUUGAUCAUGGCUCAGGAGAANNNUAGCGGCAGGCUUAAUACAUGCAAGUCGAACGGUAAGGUUUCUUCGGAGACACACGAGUGGCGCACGGGUGCGUAACGCGUAUGCAACCUACCUUUGACCGGGGAAUAGCUCCGAGAAAUCGGGAUUAAUACCCCAUAACAUCCUUUUUUCGCAUGGAAGAAGGAUCAAAGCUCCGGCGGUUAAAGAUGGGCAUGCGUGGCAUUAGUUAGUUGGCGAGGUAACGGCUCACCAAGACGACGAUGCCUAGGGGUCCUGAGAGGGUUAACCCCCACACUGGUACUGAGACACGGACCAGACUCCCACGGGAGGCAGCAGUAAGGAAUAUUGGGCAAUGGACGCAAAGUCUGACCCAGCCAUGCCGCGUGCAGGGAUGACUGCCCUAUGGGUUGUAAACUGCUUUUGUACGGGAAAAAACUUCCCGGUCGUGCACCGGGACUGAUGGUACUGUACGAAUAAGCAUCGGCUAACUCCGUGCCAGCAGCCGCGGUAAUACGGAGGAUGCAAGCGUUAUCCGGAUUUAUUGGGUUUAAAGGGUGCGCAGGCGGAAUUGUAAGUCAGUGGUGAAAUCUUCCGGCUCAACCGGGAAACUGCCAUUGAUACUGCUGUUCUUGAGUAUAGUUGAAGUGGGCGGAAUGUGUCAUGUAGCGGUGAAAUGCUUAGAUAUGACACAGAACACCGAUAGCGAAGGCAGCUCACUAAGCUGUAACUGACGCUCAUGCACGAAAGCGUGGGGAUCAAACAGGAUUAGAUACCCUAGUAGUCC
rnacentral:rRNA from 1 species